GAGAGGUUGGGAAAAACUUAUCCAAAAAUGCCCGUUUCAUACUCUCCCAUGAUGUGACAGUUCCGGGGGCUAGCUCAUACAACCAAUCUUUAGCCUUUUCUAAGAGAGAAAAGGGAAAAACCUUCAUUUUCAGAAUGCUCCCAUCAACGUUCACAAGGGUCAUGCUCGAGCAAACAACCUUAAACUCCUUCAAGUGUUUAUUAGGAUCUUCCAAGGACAUCCCGUGGAACUUAGGAAUGUGAUGCAACAAACUUGAUUUCAAUUCGAACUCGUCCGUCUUCCCUAGGGCAGCCAUGGGUAUUGGAUGCAUAGGGGAGCAUCAUUGUCCAAUCCCGAAGCGGAAAGCUCAUUGAUUGUUCGAUUGUCCACUGCCAUGUUGGGAUCUUCCUCUACAACCUGUGCCGUGGGCUCCUCUUGCUCUUCUACUUUGUCUUUUCCAAGAUCUGGUGCAGGUUGAGAUGGUUGGGAUUCUUUUUUAUUCCUUGCUUGUCUCAAAGUUCGUUCAAAAUCGUCGUCAAAGUUACGGAUGUGCUUAUGAAUAGGUUGAGAACUUCGAGUCAUAAACCACCUAAAACAAGAAAACAAGUAAAGUCAUCAACUAGGACAAAACACAUGAAAAAAAACAAAAAGAAAUAACAAGGGAUUAGCAAAAUUGCUAAUCCCCGGCAACGGCGCCAAAAAUUUGAUGCAAAAAUUAACUUAACACACAAAUUAAACCCUCUUGUAUCAAUUGUAGUAAAGAAUGUAAGUAGGGAUCGUUCUGGACCGGGGAUUAGGAGGGCUUGCUAAUAACCUCUAAACUAACUUAAAAACAUAAAAUUAAGUUUAAAACACCAAACUAGACUCAAAAGAUUCAAUACAAACUAAAAAGACUCAAAACUAGUUUAAAAGACUCAAAACAACUUAAAACAAUGAAUUAGACUCUAAACUGACUCUAGGGAUGGUUUUGGAUGAAAUUAGGUUCUAACUUGACUCAAGACACUUAAAAACACAAAUCAAAACAGAUUUUGACUAAUAAAACACUUUAAAGUAAAGGGGGAUUUGAUUUUGACGAAUUUGAAAACAAAACAAACAGAUUGUAAACUAAAACAGAUUUUGGACGAAUUUGGGUAAACUAUGGAUGAUGGGCUAGCUAGAGGGUUCUUCUCCACACAUGACACACUUGCACAUAAACCAAUUUUCAGUUGUUCUUUCGAUAAAUCAUGCAACUCAACACCCUAGGUUAAUUAAGUCCGCUUAAAUUAACCUUCAAGUUCUCCUUAAGUUAUUGAAUUGGAUGGGAAAACGCAUACAACAAUUCAAGCAUUCUUCAAAAGUCCUUUUCAUGAACAGCACAAUAAAGAUACAAUCAAAGAUCAUUAAGCAUUAUGAAAACUAUAAGUAUUGACGAGGCAUUCGUUACUAUGAUGAGCAUGAAACUCCUGCCAAGAAUUCAUUUAACACGAUCGUUUAUAAGCGACCUCCACUACUUGUGAAUAUAAGUUUGAAACUAUUAGGUGAAACUCCCUUAUACUUUAGCAUCAUAUUCAUGCAUGCAAACUAAGUGUGCACUCUUAAUAAACAUACACGAAUAAGUUAUCAAACAAGCAGUUAAACAAAUUGAAUUCACAACUUAUGAAAUCACAACUGAAGGUAAUCAAUUCAUAUUGCAAAUAUGUUCAUGGCUUUGAAUUCCCCCUAGCUAAGGGGGGUUUAGCUACUCAUAAUUGCAACAAAAUCAGAA
rnacentral:lncRNA from 1 species